GCGUCGUUUAGCCUCAGUGGUACGAAGGCGUUAAGAACCUUUUAAUCUAACGGUCAGGGUUCGAGUCCCCUACGGGGCU